ACUUUCCUGUGGCUCAAUUGGUAGAGCAUUGCACCAACAUUAUAAAGGUUGUGGGUUAAAAUCCCAGGGAAAGCA
rnacentral:tRNA from 1 species